AUAAAUCUCUCUCUCUCUCUCUCUCUCUUUCAAUUCAGAUCUGCUCUGGAGAACUCUGGUUCUUCUGUAUCGACAUAAGUUGAAUGUAGAGAAGGGAAAUUUUAGGUCAUCUUUCUGUGAUAAUUCUUCAGCUGCUAAUGAUAAUCGUAGUAAACCAGCCGGAGGAUCUUCUAAGACAUCUGGUGGUUAAUAGGAUUUUGUAAGGUUUGCAGGGCAAAAACAACCUAGUCAUAGUACAAAUGCACUGCCUGCUGGUCAAUCUGCUCCAUUUACUGGUGAUUCCGGUAGUUCCAGCUUGCCUCGUUCUAAUGGCCCUGCAUCAGGUCAGCUUAAUCCUACUGUUUAUUCAACUGUGCAAAGAGGUUCAGGAUUUGGUUUGGUCGCGCAACCCCUAGUUCUCAUUUCUGAGGAUAUGGACCCCGCGUCGGCCCAAACUCAUAGCUCUUCUUCGCAAAAUAUCGCGGCGACAGAUUGUUGAGUCUAAUAUAUCUUCUCUUCAGUAUGAUAAAGAAGCAUUGUUGGCAACUGUGAGGCUCAAGCAAAGUAAGCAGCCAUCUGAGCUCUUUUGAAAACCCCUUGUGGCUUGUGACACGAGUACUCAUGGUGGAUUUUUUGUACCUCGCAGAGCGGCUAAAAAGAACAUUCCUCCGCUAGUGCAUGUGGUUUCUUAUUUUUCUGUCCACAUCUUAAUUAAAGUACCAAUGUUACACACACUUGUUAAUUAAUAUUAUAUCUACAAAUUGAAGUGCUUAUUAAGGAUCAUGAUCGACAUGACUUCUCGAUGCAACUGGCUCCAGAAUUAGUAUCCAGAGACUUGCAUGAUGUGGCAUGACAUUCAGGCAAAUCAUCGGGGUAUGUGAAAAUUGCAAACUAACUUUUUUUGUUUCCUAUUUGUGUCCCUUCGGCACUCUGUAUGCUCAUUUUCAUUGUUCAGGACAACUGAAAAGACACUUACUGACGACGGGUUGGAGUGUAUUUGUUAGCAAAAAAAGGCUUUUCACAGGAGAUUCAGUCCUUUUCAUAAAGUAUCCAAAUAUAGUAAAGUUCACUUUGGUUGCCAUUAUAAAUUUUCUGUUCAUCACACUAAAAGUAACAUAGUUCUUGUGCUGAGAUGAGAUGAGAAAUCACAACUUCUUUUGGGUAUAAGUCGGGUUAAUAGAGAAACAACACUCUCAUCAUCUGUAAUAUCAAGUGAUAGCAUGCAUAUACAAAAAUUCUCGCUUCAUCUGCUCAUGCGUCUGCAAGCAAUACUCUAUUUGUUACCUUUUACAACCCAAGAUAUGUUUUUGGCAGCAUUUUGUUUGUGUUUUAUCACUAUGGAUCAAUGGUAUACUUGUAGGAAUCAAGGUCAGCGCUUAAUCAAUAUUAUUUUGUUUGCAAGGCAGUCCUUCAGAAUUUUUAUUUUCGUUAGCCAACUAUAACAAAGAAAUCUGCACCAAGGCAAAUCACACCUUCAUACAAUGAGGUCCAGAAGAUGGUUCAUCAUACUGCCUCCAAACUCUUGAGUGGGUCAGAGAUCCUCGAGAACAACGGUGAGUCAACAACGCGAUCAAAACCUUGGAAAGAAUCCUGUGUUUCGCGUCGUUCCUACGAGGAAGACACAACUCCAUAUCCACUUCAAAGUGGUCAGAAGAAAAAUCCAUAUCCACUUCAAAGUGGUCAGUAGAAAAAUCCAUACUUUACGCAAGUGCUGAUCAUCUUCUAUUUUAGGUCUUGUGCUGGGAGAAGGAAGAAAGUGAAGUGAAAAGGUUAAAAGUCGGGCUACCGGAACUGUAUUGCAAAAUCUUCUUAAAGUAAGAUCUGUCUUCGCCUUCAAGUUAUUUUUGUGUGGGUAUAUUGUUUCCAAAUUGUAUAACUUUUCAAUUA